CCUACGGGAGGCAGCAGUGAGGAAUAUUGGGCAAUGGGCGAGAGCCUGAACCAGCCAAGUCGCGUGAAGGAUGACGGCCCUACGGGUUGUAAACUUCGUUUGUCAGGGAGCAAGUGGGUCCACGCGUGGGCUUAGCGAGAGGACCUGAAGAAAAAGCAUCGGCUAACGCCGUGCCAGCAGCCGCGGUAAUACGGAGGAUGCGAGCGUGAGCCGGAUUGAUUGGGUGUCAAGGGUGCGUAGGCGGAAUAUCAAGGCAGCGGUAUAAAUUCGGGGCUCAACCCCGUCGUGCCGUUGAAACGGCUGUUCUUUAGUGGGCGAGAAGUAUGCGGACUGCGUGGUGUAGCGGU
rnacentral:rRNA from 1 species